AUUGAACGCUGGCGGCAUGCCUUACACAUGCAAGUCGAACGGCAGCACGGAGCUUGCUCUGGUGGCGAGUGGCGAACGGGUGAGUAAUAUAUCGGAACGUACCCAAGAGUGGGGGAUAACGUAGCGAAAGUUACGCUAAUACCGCAUACGAUCUAAGGAUGAAAGCAGGGGAUCGCAAGACCUUGUGCUCCUGGAGCGGCCGAUACCUGAUUGGCUAGGUGGUGGGGUAAAGGCCCACCAAGGCAUUGAUCAGUAGCUGGUCUGGGGGGACGACCAGCCGCGCUGGAACUGGGACACGGGCCAGACUCCUACGGGAGGCAGCAGUGGGGAAUUUUGGACAAUGGGGGCAACCCUGAUCCAGCCAUGCCGCGUGGGUGAAGAAGGCCCGCGGGUUGUAAAGCUCUUUUGUCAGGGAAGAAAAGGCUGUGGCUAAUAUCCAUGGCUCAUGACGGUACCUGAAGAAUAAGCACCGGCUAACUACGUGCCAGCCGCCGCGGUAAGAC
rnacentral:rRNA from 1 species